rnacentral:rRNA from 1 species
AGUGAACGCUGGCGGUAGGCCUAACACAUGCAAGUCGAACGGCAGCACAGUAAGAGCUUGCUCUUACGGGUGGCGAGUGGCGGACGGGUGAGGAAUACAUCGGAAUCUACUUUUUCGUGGGGGAUAACGUAGGGAAACUUACGCUAAUACCGCAUACGACCUACGGGUGAAAGCAGGGGAUCUUCGGACCUUGCGCGAUUGAAUGAGCCGAUGUCGGAUUAGCUAGUUGGCGGGGUAAAGGCCCACCAAGGCGACGAUCCGUAGCUGGUCUGAGAGGAUGAUCAGCCACACUGGAACUGAGGCACGGUCCAGACUCCUACGGGAGGCAGCAGUGGGGAAUAUUGGACAAUGGGCGCAAGCCUGAUCCAGCCAUACCGCGUGGGUGAAGAAGGCCUUCGGGUUGUAAAGCCCUUUUGUUGGGAAAGAAAAGCAGCAGGUUAAUACCCCGCUGUUCUGACGGUACCCAAAGAAUAAGCACCGGCUAACUUGGUG